UCCCUCUUAGCUCAGUGGUAGAGCGCGUCACUAGUAUUUGGUUACUCAGGAUAAAGGUUGCAAGUACAUGACGAGGUCAGUCGUUCAAGUCGGCUAGAGGGAA